rnacentral:rRNA from 1 species
UUAGUUCGAUGCAUCGCGAAGAACCUUACCUACACUUGACAUACAGAGAACUUACCAGAGAUGGUUUGGUGCCUUCGGGAACUCUGAUACAGGUGCUGCAUGGCUGUCGUCAGCUCGUGUUGUGAGAUGUUGGGUUAAGUCCCGCAACGAGCGCAACCCCUAUCCUUAGUUGCCAGCGAUUCGGUCGGGAACUCUAAGGAGACUGCCGGUGAUAAACCGGAGGAAGGUGGGGACGACGUCAGUCAUCAUGGCC